rnacentral:rRNA from 1 species
AUGAACGCUGGCGGCGUGCCUAAUACAUGCAAGUCGAGCGAACAGACGAGGAGCUUGCUCCUCUGACGUUAGCGGCGGACGGGUGAGUAACACGUGGAUAACCUACCUAUAAGACUGGGAUAACUUCGGGAAACCGGAGCUAAUACCGGAUAAUAUAUUGAACCGCAUGGUUCAAUAGUGAAAGACGGUUUUGCUGUCACUUAUAGAUGGAUCCGCGCCGCAUUAGCUAGUUGGCAAGGUAACGGCUUACCAAGGCAACGAUGCGUAGCCGACCUGAGAGGGUGAUCGGCCACACUGGAACUGAGACACGGUCCAGACUCCUACGGGAGGCAGCAGUAGGGAAUCUUCCGCAAUGGGCGAAAGCCUGACGGAGCAACGCCGCGUGAGUGAUGAAGGUCUUCGGAUCGUAAAACUCUGUUAUUAGGGAAGAACAAAUGUGUAAGUAACUAUGCACGUCUUGACGGUACCUAAUCAGAAAGCCACGGCUAACUACGUG